rnacentral:rRNA from 1 species
UGGGGAAUCUUGCGCAAUGGGCGAAAGCCUGACGCAGCGACGCCGCGUGGGUGAUGAAGGCCUUCGGGUUGUAAAGCCCUGUGGAGGGGAAGAAUAAGUCAUGGCUAAUAUCCAUGAUGAUGACGGUACCCCUUUAGCAAGCACCGGCUAACUCUGUGCCAGCAGCCGCGGUAAGACAGAGGGUGCAAACGUUGUUCGGAAUUACUGGGCGUAAAGCGCGUGUAGGCGGCUUGGCAAGUCGGGUGUGAAAGCCCUGGGCUCAACCCAGGAAGUGCACUCGAAACUGCUUCGCUUGAGUAUCGGAGAGGAAAGCGGAAUUCUCGGUGUAGAGGUGGAAUUCGUAGAUAUCGAGAGGAACACCGGUGGCGAAGGCGGCUUCUGGACGAUUACUGACGCUGAGACGCGAAAGCGUGGGGAGCAAACAGGAUUAGAUACCCUAGUAGUCCCUGAGCGGGCUGGCAAGGCGCAU